UAGGGAAUCUUCCGCAAUGGGCGAAAGCUUGACGGAGCAACGCCGCGUGAGUGAUGAAGGUCUUCGGAUCGUAAAACUCUGUUAUUAGGGAAGAACAACUGUGUAAGUAACUAUGCACGUCUUGACUGUACCUAAUCAUAAAGCCACGGCUAACUACGUGCCAGCAGCCGCGGUAAUACGUAGGUGGCAAGCGUUAUCCGGAAUCAUUGGGCGUAAAGCGCGCGUAGGCGGUUUUUUAAGUCUGAUGUGAAAGCCCACGGCUCAACCGUGGAGGGUCAUUGGAAACUGGAAAACUUGAGUACAGAAGAGGAAAGUGGAAUUCCAGGUGUAGCGGUGAAAUGCGCAGAGAUAUGGAGGAACGCCAGUGGCGAAGGAGACUUUCUGGUCUGUAACUGACGCUGAUGUGCGAAAGCGUGGGGAUCAAACAGG
rnacentral:rRNA from 1 species